rnacentral:lncRNA from 1 species
CCCCUGUUAAUGAUAAACCAGCCAUUGAAGAAAUUUUAGCUGUAAUCCAAAACCUCUCUGCAUAUUCAUCUUCUCAAGGCAAAGAAAAUUUAGAGAAGAAUACAUUUGUACUCCUGUUGGAAAAUACUUAAUGAAUAUUGCCUGCCAUUAGAACUAAGCACCACCCAAUGCAAAGAUAAGAAAAGAAAUGCAGACAGACAAACACAAGAACCAAAGGAAGAGAAUCAGAACUCUAUAAAGUCCUUAUGGUAUCCACUGUUUCAUUCAUUAGAACCUCUAAUUCACCCCCUUGGUGCCUUGUUUAUAAAAUCUUGUAUUUUAUUCUCACACAAAGAACCUUUGAUUCAACCCAGCAUAUUGGAGCUGUGUAAUAAGUUAAUCUCUCAUCUACUCCUAAAAGUCAUAAGCCACAUUGUAUAAGCAUUUAGUUCUACUGUCUCAAUAUCACAGAUUGGUGAAAAAUCAAACUUGUAAAGUGAACUAUCAGUCUUUGGUCAUGCCCAUUGUUAGCAAUUAAAUGUUAUGCAAAUGAUGAACAACAGAUGAAAUACCAUAAUGAAGGAGAAAAUAAAUAAAAUGAAGAAUAACUGUCCAAUAAAGAAUAGAGAUCAUUUGCUUAUGUAUCUAGCUUGUAUUUGGAAAUUGUUCCAAUGAGAGUGAUAAGACUGGCAUAAUAUUCUGUAAUCUUUAGCUGAUAAGUCAACAACAUGUACCGCUUCUCAAACUUUCUUGUCAUAGACAAAAGUUUGUUUUUUAUAGGUAAUAAUAUAUUUUCAAAGGCAGGAGGGUUCUCAGAGUUUUCAUUCUCUCUUGGAUGACGACUACUGAACUGAUCCACGACACUGAACUUAGGUGAUAAUAUACUUGCUAUUGCUUGUUAUACUAAGUAAAUCUCAAUAAACCAGGUAAUGGUAAAACUCAAGACCUAGAUCUCGUUCCUCUUCUGCACAUAGGCGGUACCCUCCUUGGUGCUCUGUCAAUGUUAAUAGACAACAUGUACCGCUUCUCAAACUUUCUUGUCAUAGACAAAAGUUUGUUUUUUAUAGGUAAUAAUAUAUUUUCAAAGGCAGGAGGGUUCUCAGAGUUUUCAUUCUCUCUUGGAUGACGACUACUGAACUGAUCCACGACACUGAAUUUAGGUGAUAAUAUACUUGCUAUUGCUUGUUAUACUAAGUAAAUCUCAAUAAACCAGGUAUUGGUAAAACUCAAGACCUAGAUCUCGUUCCUCUUCUGCACAUAGGCGGUACCCUCCUUGGUGCUCUGUCAAUGUUAAUAUUUCUUCUUCUACUUUUUUCUAGAGGACCCAGAUCUCAUUCCUCUUCUGCACACGUGGCACCUCCUUGGUGCUCUGUCAAUGUUAAUAUUUCUUCUUUUACUUUUUAUAGAAGAUCUAGAUCUUGUUCCAUUUUAUGAUGCAAAAUUCCUUAAAGAUCAAGAUUAACAGAUGAUAUGUAAUAAAUCUACUUUUCAAUCAUAAAUUAUAACAUCCUAUCACAAUCAGAUUUAGAUGAAUACUAAGAGCUGUCCUCACAAAUAAAUGGCUCUAGAUUUUUUGUAAAACCUUCAUUUGGAAGCACUGUUAUAGGAAGUGCUAAACACCAUUAGACAUACCAC